rnacentral:lncRNA from 1 species
GUUCACAUCCUUCAAAGGAUGGAGAAAACUGUGCUCUUCACUAUGGAGUUGUGUGAACAUGGCAAAGAGUGCUAGGGAAGGAAACUAAUUCUCACUUCCAGGCCAGCUGAGCUAGGAGCAUUGUUCAGAAUGUUCACAGAAGGCAGCAGAAGCUCUCCUUCCCUGUUUGGCUCCCCAAGCAUUUGAUACUAGGGUCAUCAUGGUGGAAUGCACGG